UAGGACCUUUAUCGACCUGUUGCUGUUAUGCUGCAUUUUCACCAUAAAUGUGCAAUAUUUCUAGGUUAGAAAAGUCAUUGUUGACUAUUCAAGUCAUUACACGCAAUUUGCUUGGUACCGUGACUUAGACUAAAAAACCUCCUAUAAAUUUCAUACAAUUAUCUAUAAUUGUUGACAAGUUGUGAAAAAUAUCAAUGUUCUAUAAUUGAUUCUUCAAAUAAGCUCAACCAUUGCUUCAUUCUCGAUCACUUUCAUAAUCACUUUCAAACAGGUCUCCGAUGAGUUUCUUCAUCAACUAAGGCCUUGAGCGAAGCCACUUGGAGAAAUUUCAUUGUUGCCUCAUGGAUCCUGAAAUGUGGAAGGAAAAGGGUGCAAAUGAAUCAUAUUCUUCACAUCAUGCAUGCUGACAAUUAGGGUUAGAUUGUUCUACCAUCUUAGAUCUCAUGUUAAGCUUCAAUUUUAAAUCGGAAAGAAUUAUUUGUUUCUUUGUUUUUUUUUUUCCUUUUUAGCGAUCACUCAUUGUGUUUGGUAACAUUUUAUUGCCAUAAAAUCAAAGAUUUCAAUUUUCAAAACUUUGUACUAUAUUAUUCCAACAUCAUCUCAUAUAUCAUCAUUGACUUACCACAAUUGUAUAAGAGCAAAAACAUGAAUGAUGAGCUUCAACUUUAAAUUGAAAAGAAUUAUUCGUUUCUUCAUGCUUUUUUUUUUCUUGCCUCUUUGUCAUCAUUCAUUGCGUUUGGCAAUUGUAGUAUCAUAAAAUCAAAAUUUUCAAUUUUCAGGGGUUUUUACUAUAUUGUACCAACAUCAUCUCAUAUAUUAUCAUUGGCUUAAUUACCAGAAGUGUGUGGGAGCAUAAACAUUUCUAUCGAGAUGGUUUAAAUGGCAUUAUUAAAAACCUUUUUUCAAUGAUUAUAAUAAUUAAUUUUAAAUCAAUUAAAGCUAACGUAUAAUAGAGAAUUGUUAAAAUAAAUUAUCCAUCCUCUUAUUAUCAGUUAAUUUUAGGUUGAAUUCCCAUCAUAAAAUUUUCUACCUGGGAGAGGAAGUGAGAUUCAAAGCAGAGAAUUGGAAAAGGAAGAGAUCUUAGAAAUUUCUUUGCAAUUAAUGUAUAGAAAACAUGAAAGGACAGACCUUUAGUAAUCAGUUAUCUUUCUUUCUAAAGUCUAGAAGUAGGAAAAAUAAAAGGUUAGGAAGUGCAGAAGAACAAGCACCAAAAUACAGGAAAAAUCAAAGUCAAUCAGUGCUGCAGCCUCUUUCCCUUUCUUGAAGAAAAUUUGGCUACAAUGUGAACACCGAGGCAGGGAGAGAAGACAAUGAGAAACUUGGCUGAGUUUUCUGGGCCAGCAAAAGAGUAAGAAAAGCCAGGAAAGUAUUGAAGUAAAUUUCAUUAGCCAAGAAACAUGGACCAUAUGAAAAAUUGUUCCCACGGUAGGACCUUUAUCGACCUGUUGCUGUUAUGCUGCAUUUUCACCAUAAAUGUGCAAUAUUUCUAGGUUAGAAAAGUCAUUGUUGACUAUUCAAGUCAUUACACGCAAUUUGCUUGGUACCGUGACUUAGACUAAAAAACCUCCUAUAAAUUUCAUACAAUUAUCUAUAAUUGUUGACAAGUUGUGAAAAAUAUCAAUGUUCUAUAAUUGAUUCUUCAAAUAAGCUCAACCAUUGCUUCAUUCUCGAUCGCUUUCAUAAUCACUUUCAAACAGGUCUCCAAUGAGUUUCUUCGUCAACUAAGGCCUUGAGCAAAGCCACUUUGAGAAAUUUCAUUGUUGCCUCAUGGAUCCUGAAAUGUGGAAGGAAAAGGGUGCAAAUGAAUCAUAUUCUUCACAUCAUGCAUGCUGACAAUUAGGGUUAGAUUGUUCUACCAUCUUAGAUCUCAUGUUAAG
rnacentral:lncRNA from 1 species